AGAACGAACGCUGGCGGCAUGCCUAAUACAUGCAAGUCGAACGAACACUUCGGUGUUAGUGGCGCACGGGUGCGUAACGCGUGGGAAUCUGCCCUUGGGUUCGGAAUAACAGUUGGAAACGACUGCUAAUACCGGAUGAUAUCGAAAGAUCAAAGAUUUAUCGCCCAGGGAUGAGCCCGCGUAGGAUUAGCUAGUUGAUGAGGUAAGAGCUCACCAAGGCGACGAUCCUUAGCUGGUCUGAGAGGAUGAUCAGCCACACUGGGACUGAGACACGGCCCAGACUCCUACGGGAGGCAGCAGUGGGGAAUAUUAGGACAAUGGGCGAAAGCCUGAUCCAGCAAUGCCGCGUGAGUGAUGAAGGCCUUAGGCUGUAAAGCUCUUUACCGGAUGAUAAUGACAGUAACCGGAGAAUAAGCUCGCAACUCCGUGACCAGCAGCCGA
rnacentral:rRNA from 1 species